rnacentral:rRNA from 1 species
UUAAAGCGGUACGCGAGCUGGGUUCAGAACGUCGUGAGACAGUUCGGUCCCUAUCCGUCGCGGGCGCAGGAAAUUUGAGAGGAGCUGUCCUUAGUACGAGAGGACCGGGAUGGACGCACCGCUGGUGUACCAGUUGUCCUGCCAAGGGCACCGCUGGGUAGCUAUGUGCGGAAGGGAUAAGCGCUGAAAGCAUCUAAGCGUGAAGCCCCCCUCAAGAUGAGAUUUCCCAUUGCAUAAGCAAGUAAGAUCCCUCGAAGAUGACGAGGUAGAUAGGUCCGAGGUGGAAGCGUGGCGACACGUGUAGCUGACGGAUACUAAUCGAUCGAGGACUUAACCAAU